UACGUAGGGUGCGGGCGUUGUCCGGAAUUACUGGGCGUAAAGAGCUCGUAGGUGGUUUGUCGCGUUGUUCGUGAAAACUCACAACUCAAUUGUGGGCGUGCGGGCGAUACGGGCAGACUGGAGUACUGCAGGGGAGACUGGAAUUCUUGGUGUAGCGGUGAAAUGCGUAGAUAUCAAGAGGAACACCUGCGGCGAAGGCGGGUUGCUGGGCCGACACUGACGCUGAAGCGCGAAAGCCAGGGGAGCGAACGGG
rnacentral:rRNA from 1 species